UACGAAGGGGGCUAGCGUUGCUCGGAAUCACUGGGCGUAAAGCGCACGUAGGCGGACUCUUAAGUCGGUGGUGAAAUCCUGGAGCUCAACUCCAGAACUGCCUUCGAUACUGAAGAGCUCGAGUCCGGGAGAGGUGAGUGGAACUGCGAGUGUAGAGGUGAAAUUCGUAGAUAUUCGCAAGAACACCAGUGGCGAAGGCGGCUCACUGGCCCGGUACUGACGCUGAGGUGCGAAAAGCGUGGGGAGCAAACAGGG
rnacentral:rRNA from 1 species